UACGGAGGGUGCAAGCGUUAUCCGGAUUCACUGGGUUUAAAGGGUGCGUAGGUGGGUUGGUAAGUCAGUGGUGAAAUCUCCGUGCUUAACAUGGAAACUGCCAUUGAUACUACUGAUCUUGAAUUUUCAGGAGGUAAGCGGAAUAUGUCAUGUAGCGGUGAAAUGCUUAGAUAUGACAUAGAACACCAAAUUGCGAAGGCAGCUCACUACCCAGAUAUUGACACUGAGGCACGAAAGCGUGGGGAUCAAACAGG
rnacentral:rRNA from 1 species